GGGCCGGUAGAUUAGCCCGGCAACGAGUUCCAUCUGGGCCUCGUCGGGAUAGAUCGUCUGGUUUGCAUCCAGAAGGCCGCGAGUUCAAAUCUCGCCCGGUCCACCA
rnacentral:tRNA from 1 species